UGGGGAAUAUUGCACAAUGGGCGAAAGCCUGAUGCAGCGACGCCGCGUGAGGGAUGACGGCCUUCGGGUUGUAAACCUCUUUCAGCAGGGACGAAGCGCAAGUGACGGUACCUGCAGAAGAAGCACCGGCUAACUACGUGCCAGCAGCCGCGGUAAUACGUAGGGUGCAAGCGUUGUCCGGAAUUACUGGGCGUAAAGAGUUCGUAGGCGGUUUGUCGCGUCGUUUGUGAAAACCAGCAGCUCAACUGCUGGCUUGCAGGCGAUACGGGCAGACUUGAGUACUGCAGGGGAGACUGGAAGUCCUGGUGUAGCGGUGAAAUGCGCAGAUAUCAGGAGGAACACCGGUGGCGAAGGCGGGUCUCUGGGCAGUAACUGACGCUGAGGAACGAAAGCGUGGGUAGCGAACAGG
rnacentral:rRNA from 2 species